AUUGAACGCUGGCGGCAGGCCUAACACAUGCAAGUCGAGCGGAUGACGGGAGCUUGCUCCUUGAUUCAGCGGCGGACGGGUGAGUAAUGCCUAGGAAUCUGCCUGGUAGUGAGGGACAACGUUCCGAAAGGAACGCUAAUACCGCAUACGUCCUACGGGAGAAAGCAGGGGACCUUCGGGCCUUGCGCUAUCAGAUGAGCCUAGGUCGGAUUAGCUAGUUGGUAGGGUAAUGGCUCACCAAGGCGACGAUCCGUAACUGGUCUGAGAGGAUGAUCAGUCACACUGGAACUGAGACACGGUCCAGACUCCUACGGGAGGCAGCAGUGGGGAAUAUUGGACAAUGGGCGAAAGCCUGAUCCAGCCAUGCCGCGUGUGUGAAGAAGGUCUUCGGAUUGUAAAGCACUUUAAGUUGGGAGGAAGGGCAGUAAGUUAAUACCUUGCUGUUUUGACGUUACCGGCAGAAUAAGCACCGGCUAACUCUGUGCCAGCCGCCGCUGUAACAC
rnacentral:rRNA from 1 species